rnacentral:lncRNA from 1 species
GCCAUUGCUAGUAGGUCACUGCAAGACAGCCAUUGCUAGUAGGUUACUGCGGGAUAGCCGUUGCUAGGUAAGUCACUGCAAGAUAGCCAUUGCUAGGUAAGUCACUGCAAGAUAGCCAUUGCUAGUAGGUCACUGCAAGACAGCCAUUGCUAGUAGGUUACUGCGGGAUAGCCGUUGCUAGGUAAGUCACUGCAAGAUAGCCAUUGCUAGGAGGUUACUGUGGGAUAGCCGUUGCUAGGUAGGUCACUGCAGGACAGACGUUACUAGGUAAGUCACUGCAAGAUAGCCAUUGCUAGUAGGUUACUGCGGGAUAGACUUUGCUAGGUAGGUCACUGCAGGACAGACAUUACUAGGUAAGUCACUGCAAGAUAGCCAUUGCUAUUAGGUUACUGCGGGAUAUACGUUGCUAGGUAGGUCACUGCAGGAAAGAUGUUACUCGGUAAGUCACUGCAAGAUAGCCAUUGCUAGUAGGUUACUGCAUAGCCGUUAGGUAAGUCACUGCAAGAUAGCCAUUGCUAGUAGGUUACUGUGGGAUAGACAUUGCUAGGUAGGUCACUGCGGGACAGACGUUGCUAGGUAGGUCACUGCAGGACAAAUGUUGCAAGCUAGGUCACCUAAGGACAGCCAUUGCAAGAUAUGUCACUGUAGGACAUGGUUGCUUGGUAGGUCACUGCAGGACAAAUAUUUGCAUGAUACAAAUAUAUCCAAUACAGCCCAUGCAAGUCUAUAAUGUUUAUCAAGUCUAGAUUACUGCAGUAUCAUAAAGAGUCUCUGGGCUCCUUUUUAUUAUAUUUAUAUUAAGAUACUAGAUGCUAGUCUAGUCACUGCAGGACAACUGUUGCAAUGUUUUGUCAUUUGGGCUUGUUUCACAUUUUCUACAAAAUACCGACAAUAAUCUAAGUGUGAACAACAGGAACUUAAACUGUCUGAUUUGA